rnacentral:rRNA from 1 species
GCAAGAACAGGUCUGUGAUGCCUUUAGAUGUUCUGGGCCGCACGCGCGCUACACUGACAGAGCCAGCGAGUAUCCCUUGGCCGGAAGGUCCGGGUAAUCUUGUUAACUUCUGUCGUGCUGGGGAUAGAGCAUUGCAAUUAUGNCUCUUCAACGAGGAAUCCCUAGUAAGCGCAAGUCAUCAGCUUGCGUUGAUUACGUCCCUGCCCUUUGUACACACCGCCCGUCGCUACUACCGAUCGAAUGGCUCAGUGAGGCUUCCGGACUGGCCUAGAGAGGUCGGCAACGACCACUCAGGGCCGGAAAGCUAUCCAAACUCGGUCAUUUAGAGGAAGUAAAAGUCGUAACAAGGUCUCCGUUGGUGAACCAGCGGAGGGAUCAUUACAAGAAGCCGAAAGGCUACUUAAAACCAUCGCGAACUCGUCCAAGUUGCUUCGGCGGCGCGGGACCCCUCGGGGGACCGCAGCGCCGCUUCCCCCCCGGGGGUUGCGGGGCGCCCGCCGGAGGUCACAAACUCUCAUGUAUUAUAGUGGAUCUCUGAGUAAAAAACAAAUAAGUUAAAACUUUCAACAACGGAUCUCUUGGUUCUGGCAUCGAUGAAGAACGCAGCGAAAUGCGAUAAGUAAUGUGAAUUGCAGAAUUCAGUGAAUCAUCGAAUCUUUGAACGCACAUUGCGCCCGCUAGUACUCUAGCGGGCAUGCCUGUUCGAGCGUCAUUUCAACCCUCAAGCCCUGCUUGGUGUUGGGGCCCUACGGCUGCCGUAGGCCCUGAAAGGAAGUGGCGGGCUCGCUACAACUCCGAGCGUAGUAAUUCAUUAUCUCGCUUAGGGUGUUGUGCGGUGCUCCAGC